AGAGACAGCAGCCGCCGCGGGAAUACGAAGGGUGCAAGCGUUACUCGGAAUUACUGGGCGUAAAGCGUGCGUAGGUGGUGGUUUAAGUCCGUUGUGAAAGCCCUGGGCUCAACCUGGGAAUUGCAGUGGAUACUGGGUCACUAGAGUGUGGUAGAGGAUAGUGGAAUUUCCGGUGUAGCAGUGAAAUGCGUAGAGAUCGGAAGGAACAUCUGUGGCGAAGGCGACUAUCUGGGCCAACACUGACACUGAGGCACGAAAGCGUGGGGAGCAAACAGGAUUAGAUACCCCUGUAGUCCCUGUCUCUUAUAC
rnacentral:rRNA from 1 species